AGUGAACGCUGGCGGUAGGCCUAACACAUGCAAGUCGAACGGCAGCACAGAGGAGCUUGCUCCUUGGGUGGCGAGUGGCGGACGGGUGAGGAAUACAUCGGAAUCUACUCUGUCGUGGGGGAUAACGUAGGGAAACUUACGCUAAUACCGCAUACGACCUACGGGUGAAAGCAGGGGACCUUCGGGCCUUGCGCGAUUGAAUGAGCUGAUGUCGGAUUAGCUAGUUGGCGGGGUAAAGGCCCACCAAGGCGACGAUCCGUAGCUGGUCUGAGAGGAUGAUCAGCCACACUGGAACUGAGACACGGUCCAGACUCCUACGGGAGGCAGCAGUGAGGAAUAUUGGACAAUGGGCGCAAGCCUGAUCCAGCCAUACCGCGUGGGUGAAGAAGGCCUUCGGGUUGUAAAGCCCUUUUGUUGGGAAAGAAAUCCAGCUGGCUAAUACCCGGUUGGGAUGACGGUACCCAAAGAAUAAGCACCGGCUAACUUCGUGCCAGCCGCCGCGGUAA
rnacentral:rRNA from 1 species